GUCUGGUAGGGCUCUAACUCGCGACGCCCUUGCCUCGAUCCUGAUCUGCGACAGCAGCAGCCGACGACGAUGGCUUUUGCAAAAAUAGGGGGUAACAACAGAGCGUGAGAACUACUGUAAAAACAGGUAGUCCUCAGUGGGUGCCACCAUCAACAAUAUCGGUUCACCCACUAAGUCUACAGAAGGGAGCAAAGAUAGUAGUAAAUGCAGGAAUAAAAUCUACCACUAUGAAUCAUUACACUAUCAUGCUCUACACUAACCAACUGUAGGAAAUGUCAAAUCUGACCCAAUCCAAUCGGGACUGUAGGCCUACCCGUCCCUGGGACUGUGAACACACCCGUCCCUGCCCAGUUGUGACUAUCCAGCUACCUCCACACUACUAGUCCGUGGAGAGCAAGUCCAAUCGGUAUGAGCGACACCAACGCGAAAGCACAGCGCCCGUCUCCGGAGUGGCACUCGUGGAAGCUACCCAACUGAGUAUGCAGCUAUCUCUGUCGAGCUCAAUCAGGCUCUCAAAAGCCAAAGUCCAGUGACCGACUCAAACUGGUCUAAUAACCAACAGGUAACGUGCCUUUGGCACAAUCCAACGCCAAGAAAGCGAUACGGGUCCACCGUCAACCCCGACGGCACCCAACAGUCCGGAACAGCCUAAACGCUAUUUUAAAAAAUUCACUCGGCAUCCCCGCACGAGUAUAACUGAAAUCUAAACUACCUGAAAUUCUCAAUAUGAUGAUACUGCAACAGUAUAAAAUCAUACAACGGCCCCUAGGGCUAAAUCAGGUAGUUUAAC
rnacentral:lncRNA from 1 species